UAUAAAAUAUAGCAAGUCACAUUGAUGGUUGGAAAUGGUAAGGUAAUAUUUCCUCAUCGUCCCAUUUUUUAUUUCACAGCCAACAUGUAAUUUAUGGGUGUGAAGAUGUCAGAGAGUCACUGUGAAAACAAAAUCUGUAGAGGCUUAAGGAAUAAAAGGCACAAAUUGGGAGAGAGAUAAUGGUGCCGUUGAGCAAAGAUAGUGAGGAACUCUUUUGUUUUUAUGAUUAUUGUAGAAGGAUAUAUGAUGUUUUCUGUCGCGCAGCCAUUAGGUUUUUUGGCAAAUAUAAUAAAUGUUAGCUCAGAGGCUACAGCACGAGCAAAAUGAGAAAGAAAGUAGGCAGAACGCCCCGAGGAAGAGAUUCAGAGUUAAUUACAGUGAUUGCAUGUGUUCAUUACCGCUGUCAGCAGAAUACACACAAAAAAAAAUCAAAAUCAAAAUUUAUACAAAGAACUUAGCAAAUGAAGAGAGAAAUUCAUGCUUUAAUUAUGCUGCUCAAAAACCCAAUCAAAAUGUUUUUAAGCCAAAAAACCUCAGAAAGAAAAGGAUUUAACUGGUUUUCAUUCUCAUUCAUUUAGAGGCUCAUUUUCAAGUGCGUGUAGUUUCAAGUACAAAAUGCUAACGAUGCUGGAAGCACCAGAGAGCUGCAACGUGCUGCUGAUGUUCCUCAAAGAACUUCUGUUUUAUUUGUAAAGUUCAAACAUAUUCCAUCUGAACGUGAGUUUUACAGAACAGAGACCGGAACGCAGACAUCAGAUUACAUGAAGUGAAACAGAGUCCCCAAAGACUUUCCAAUCAUUUCUUACAUAAACAUGCCAAGGUAUGAAUGACGUCUGAAUAUUAAACUAUGCUAAUUACAGAUGAUGCUAAUGGUAGUAGGUGGGCUACAGACAUAGAGUGGAUUAGGAAUUAAGAAUUAAAAAUCAUCUGGUGUUGAUGGGAGGGCCACAAAACAAAAAAUGCUUAGGGCCCCAAGAAGGCUUGGACCGGCCCUGCCUACAAGUGAAAACAUGAUUACGCUUGAAACAAACAGCCUGCCCUGAGUCAUGAGAAAUAAUCAAACACCUUGCCAAUAGUACUUAUGUUAAACUUAACACGCAUUAGCUGAGCUUCAUUACCAUCAUAUUUGCUUUAUCCAUCCAACAUUAGAAACGAUCCGUCUCUCCCUUCUUCGGUCGCCACGCGCUCGGCUACAGCUCUAAAUGAACACAUCCUUCAUUCGCGCGCGCUCAGCAGUUAAAAAACCCUCAACACGAAGCUGCUAUAAACCUCAUCAGGGACCCGGGGAGGGAGCUGGAGCUGCUGGACCGGAUAUUGAAAGCGGGGAGGGGAGAGUUACCGACUGAGUAUUCUCCCGACAGUUGGAGACUUUUUUCCUUUUAUUGCUCCCGAAUCGCCGCUUUGCGGCUCGGCAAAAAUGUUUGAGCAGCGGGAGAACAGAUGCGACAGGGUGUCAGAGAGGAUUUCAGAGCGACGUCACAUUUUACUCAUCUGCGGUUUGAGAUGCUUUUCAGAGGCAGAAGGGCUUCUGUCGGUGUAAAAGGAUUCGUAUUUCAGCCCUCCAGACUGCUGCAACAAAAAUAAUGAUAACAGCAGACUCGGUUGGACCACUGAAGGCAUUCACGACGCCGUUAUGAGGCUCCAUUCCUGAAGGACCCCCAGAUGUAGGCUAUGCAUUUCUUGACAACUGUGUUACUGUGCCAGUGCUUUUUAUAGACUCCCACCUCGACUGGCUGCCAGAUUGACGUCUUCUUCUCGUGACAUUGUGAGAAAAAUAAAAAAACCGAAGGCUUUGAUUGGCCUGUGAGCUCUGGAGUGCCAUGAAACGGCUUUUGAGCUUCAAAAAGUCACAGGCUGUCACAGCGGACUGGAACCAUGAUUUAGCAUCUGGAGUGUAAAUGAAAUGCAAAAGGACAGUAAAA